UCAGCCGGUUGGCCAAUCUGGUUAAGGCGCCGUUCUGACAAGACGGAGACGAGGAGUUCGAAUCUCCUAGCUACAAUGCUGAU